GACGAACGCUGGCGGCGUGCUUAACACAUGCAAGUCGAACGGAAAGGCCCUGCUUUUGCGGGGUGCUCGAGUGGCGAACGGGUGAGUAACACGUGAGUAACCUGCCCUUGUCUUUGGGAUAACUUCAGGAAAAUGGGGCUAAUACCGGAUAGGAGCUCCUGCUGCACGGUGGGGGUUGGAAAGAUUCGGCGGUUGGGGCUGGACUCGCGGGUUAUCAGCUUGUUGGUGGGGUAGUGGCUUACCAAGGCUUUGACGGGUAGCCGGCCUGAGAGGGUGACCGGCCACAUUGGGACUGAGGUACGGCCCAGAAUCCUACGGGAGGCAGAAGUGGGGAAUAUUGCGCAAUGGGCGGGAGCCUGAUGCGGCGACGCCGCGUGCGGGAUGACGGCCUUCGGGUUGUAAACCGCUUUCGCCUGUGACGAAGAGGGAGUGACGGUAAUGGGUAAAGAAGCACCGGCUAACUACGUG
rnacentral:rRNA from 1 species